rnacentral:lncRNA from 1 species
UCCUAAGCAGAAAUCAAAAUGUGUCAAAUCAUCUGAGACAGUCAAUUUGUUCACAAUGCCCACAUUCUUGCAGUACGGAUGCAGCACUAUUCAAAAACAGCUUCAUUUCAAGAGAUACAAUGCAGCAGAGAGCUUUUCCAGGUAGAGUAUUAAUACGCAAGAUCUCCUGCUGGCAGACUCAACAGAAUCUUUCUGGCUGUGAAGCGAAGUCCAAACCUGUGAAAGUGUACCCCCAGAAGAAGAGGACGACAAAAGGCGGGAGAAGGUGGACAGGAAAAGCCUGGUAA